rnacentral:rRNA from 1 species
AUUGAACGCUGGCGGCAUGCCUAACACAUGCAAGUCGGGCGAGCAGCGGACUGGUGAGUAAUUUAUUGGGAUCUGCCUGAUGUAGGGGGAUAACUACUGGAACCGUUAGCUAAUACCGCAUACCAUCCUAUGAACCCUUAGGGGAUUAGCUUGUAGGUGAGGUAACGGCUCACCUAGGCGACGAUCCCUAGCUGGUCUGAGAGGAUGAUCGGCCACACUGGGACUGAGACACGGCCCAGACUCCUACGGGAGGCAGCAGUGGGGAAUAUUGGACAAUGGGCGAAAGUCUGACGGAGCCAUGCCGCGUGUAUGAAGAAGGCUUUCGGGUCGUAAAGUACUUUCAGUAGGGAGGCGUUACCGACCGAAGAAGCACCGGCUAACUACGUGCCAGCAGCCGCGGUAAUAC